UCUCUCUCUCUCUCUACCAUUUCUUCUUCUCCAGUGAACUCCCCCACCUCCAGUCGUUUGCUUCACCCAAAUAUAGAUUUAUAAAAUAAAACUGAUCUAGAUUUACAAUAAUUCAAUAAAUCGCAGAUUCACAAAAAAAAAUGUAUAUAUGUUCCAUCUUCAAAAUCAUGUUCAUCCACACCCAAUAUCCAAACAAACCUUCAUCCUCACCCCUCGUCUCCCUCUUCUUCAUCUUCUGUGAUUUCCAUCAAGGAACACAUCAAAUUUUGAGGUUGGUUUUAUUUUUUUUGUGUUUGACUCAGAAAAGUUAAUCACGCUAGUUGAUAGAAUGGAAAUGGUCUUUUGUUCAUGUUUUCUAGUACCUGUAACUGGUCUUACUUUCUUCUGAAAGAAACCCAUCUGCUCUAAUCUCCUUACUUCCAUUAAACACAUAAACCUUAGGGAUUUUCUUGCAAAAAUCACUCUUUCGCAUUUUCAAGCUCUCUACAAACCCUAGCCAUGUCGCUCACGAUUCUUUGUUUGAAUUACAACAACGAAGAGGUCCAUCAUUUCUCAAUCUGUGUAGAGAACCAAUCUGCUUCUCCUCUCAACCUCAAUCUUGCCUUGCUUUCUGUUUAACUUAUACAAAUAAAAAAAUGGAGUGUCUUCAACUCAAAAAACACACACAUACACACCUGCAAUUCAAAACACACACAUUAAAUCUGAUUUUCAAGAUUUGUAAAUCUAUAUAGGAGUCAAAGCAAAUUUCCAUAAGAAUCGAACUCAAACGAAGAAGUUAAUGAUUGUUAUGAGGUUCAGAUGUUAUGGUUUAUAAAUCCACUUGAUUGGCCGCCUGGGUUUAAUAGACACACGACGGGGAAAGAGGAAAUGAGGAAGCACUUGAACGACCUCAUCAAAGAAUCAAACCCAACUUCAUCCCACCCUCUUCAGUGUCGGAGUGUCGGACCUGGAGCUCUACUUCAGGGUAGCCUGAACGAACUCAUCAUAGAAAACAAGAAAUAGUAACAGAUAGAUAAAGAAAGUCAAAGAGAUAGAGGGAGAAAUAAAGGAAGGAUGCGGAUGAAGGGUGGGGGUAGGUGAUUUUUUUUCUUAAAAGUAUUAAAAUAUAAAAGAAAUAAAGAAAACGUAAAAAAGAAAUAAUAAGGGCAA
rnacentral:lncRNA from 1 species